rnacentral:rRNA from 1 species
GACGAACGCUGGCGGCGUGCCUAAUACAUGCAAGUUGAGCGAUGAAGCUUGGUGCUUGCACCAAUUUGAAGAGCAGCGAACGGGUGAGUAACGCGUGGGGAAUCUGCCUUUGAGCGGGGGACAACAUUUGGAAACGAAUGCUAAUACCGCAUAACAACUUUAAACAUAAGUUUUAAGUUUGAAAGAUGCAAUUGCAUCACUCAAAGAUGAUCCCGCGUUGUAUUAGCUAGUUGGUGAGGUAAAGGCUCACCAAGGCGAUGAUACAUAGCCGACCUGAGAGGGUGAUCGGCCACAUUGGGACUGAGACACGGCCCAAACUCCUACGGGAGGCAGCAGUAGGGAAUCUUCGGCAAUGGACGAAAGUCUGACCGAGCAACGCCGCGUGAGUGAAGAAGGUUGUCGGAUCGUAAAACUCUGUUGGUAGAGAAGAACGUUGGUGAGAGUGGAAAGCUCAUCAAGUGACGGUAACUACCCAGAAAGGGACGGCUAACUACGUG